GUGCCAGCAGCCGCGGUAAAACGUAGGACGCAAGCGUUAUCCGGAAUUACUGGGCGUAAAGCGCGUGUAGGUGGUUUGAUAAGUCACUGUUGAAAGCUCCCGGCUAAACUGGGAGAGGUGCGGUGAGACUGUCAGGCUAGAGUACGGGAGAGGGAUGCAGAAUUCCGGGUGUAGUGGUGAAAUGCGUAGAGAUCCGGAGGAAUACCAGAGGCGAAGGCGGCAUCCUGGCCUGAAACUGACACUGAGACGCGAAAGCAUGGGGAGCGAACGGGAUUAGAAACCCUCGUAGUCC
rnacentral:rRNA from 1 species